AUUGAACGCUGGCGGCAGGCCUAACACAUGCAAGUCGAGCGGAUGAAGGGAGCUUGCUCCUGGAUUCAGCGGCGGACGGGUGAGUAAUGCCUAGGAAUCUGCCUGGUAGCGGGGGAUAACGUCCGGAAACGGGCGCUAAUACCGCAUACGUCCUGAGGGAGAAAGUGGGGGAUCUUCGGACCUCACGCUAUCAGAUGAGCCUAGGUCGGAUUAGCUAGUUGGUGGGGUAAAGGCCUACCAAGGCGACGAUCCGUAACUGGUCUGAGAGGAUGAUCAGUCACACUGGAACUGAGACACGGUCCAGACUCCUACGGGAGGCAGCAGUGGGGAAUAUUGGACAAUGGGCGAAAGCCUGAUCCAGCCAUGCCGCGUGUGUGAAGAAGGUCUGCGGAUUGUAAAGCACUUUAAGUUGGGAGGAAGGGCAGUAAGUUAAUACCUUGCUGUUUUGACGUUACCAACAGAAUAAGCACCGGCUAACUUCGG
rnacentral:rRNA from 1 species